rnacentral:lncRNA from 1 species
AAGAGCAUGUUCGAAGAAUUUAGAUAGGACUUUUGUAAUUCAUAGUUCAUAGCUUAGCCUAGCUUCUUUUUAUUUUGACAUGGUGUAUUAAGGGAGAUCAGCAAGCAGUAGCAGCAGCAACGGUAGUAAAAUCACAUCGCCUGGUAGGCCCAGCUACCAGACAUUCUGGAACUACACUGACCUGAUUCCUUUUUAGCCAAGGAUAUGUAGG